UNUGGUUACUGACCCUAUGGAUGCCUUAGC
rnacentral:piRNA from 1 species